rnacentral:lncRNA from 1 species
AUGUGGCAGUCCUACUUAAAGGUAGAAGAAAAAGAACACCCCUUGUUUUGUAAUAAGGGGAUUUUCAAUUUAAAAGAGAGAGCGAGCCUGUUGUGUGAAGUACGGUUAUUACAUUCACUGUAUUCUAUCUCACCCACCAGGAGGCUAAUAAUGAAGGGCCGGGGAAGGAGGCCAGUGCUAGGAGGGUUAUCUCACUGCCUCAGAUGCUGGAUAAGUCGAAGGAAGCAGAAUCGCUUUUGGAUGACAUUCAGAAAGGCCGGAGUGAUUAUUUGGGAGAGAAAAGCUUGCCUAUUCUUUUCCAAGAGAGCACCAGGAGACCACUACAAACAGAAAAGAACACUCGGAGACAAUAAAAUAAACAUGCUUAAAAUAUUUGAAGAGAUAAAAGAAGGAACAGAAUCAAUAAUGGAAAAAUAGGACCUUAUGAAAUAUGAUCAGAAGAAGAUUUGAAACAGAACCAAAUAGGGUUUCUAUAAUGAAAAACUAAAUGGACAGGCGAAAGCAUAAAUUAAAUGCCGAAAAGAGAAUCAAUGAACUAGAAGAUGGAUUUGGAGAAAUCAUCCAGCAUGCAAAGUAGAGAGAUGAAGAUGUAGAAGUUUUGAAAGAGCAUUUAAAGAUGUGAAAGCCAGAAUGAUAAAUUCCAAUAAUAUCUCUCAGAAGAGUUUUGCAGAGUGAGAGAGGUGAGAAGUUAAUUUCAAACAAAUAACGGCUGACAAUGUUUCUUAAUUAAAGAACACGUAAACGCGCAGACUAACGGAACACUGAUUAGAAAGCAAUUGCAGAAAAUAGAAAUAAAUCUACUCCUCUGUAGAUCCUAGUGAAAUUG